rnacentral:rRNA from 1 species
CAGCAGUCGCCGCGGUAAUACGGAGGGGGCUAGCGUUGUUCGGAAUUACUGGGCGUAAAGCGCACGUAGACGGCUUGGUAAGUUAGAGGUGAAAGCCCGGAGCUCAACUCCGGAAUUGCCUUUAAGACUGCCGAGCUAGUAGGUGAGAGAGGUAAGUGGAAUUCCGAGUGUAGAGGUGAAAUUCGUAGAUAUUCGGAAGAACACCAGUGGCGAAGGCGGCUUACUGGCUCAUUCUAGACGCUGAGGUGCGAAAGCGUGGGGAGCAAACAGGAUUAGAUACCCGCGUAGUCCCUGUCUCUUAUAC